rnacentral:rRNA from 1 species
GCAGCGCGGUUAUACCGUAGGUGGCCAAGCGUUCACUCCGGGAACUUAUUGGGCGUAAAGCGCGCGGCAGGCCGGUCCCUUUAAGUAUGAUGUGAAAGCCCACGGCUCAACCGUGGAGGGUCAUUGGAAACUGGGGGGACUUGAGUGCAGAAGAGGAGAGCGGAAUUCCACGUGUAGCGGUGAACUGCGUAGAGAUGUGGAGGAACACCAGUGGCGAAGGCGGCUCUCUGGUCUGUAACUGACGCUGAGGCGCGAAAGCGUGGGGAGCGAACAGGAUUAGAUACCCCUGGUAGUCCACGCCGUAAACGAUGAGUGCUAAGUGUUAGAGGGUUUCCGCCCUUUAGUGCUGCAGCAAACGCAUUAAGCACUCCGCCUGGGGAGUACGGUCGCAAGACUGAAACUCAAAGGAAUUGACGGGGGCCCGCACAAGCGGUGGAGCAUGUGGUUUAAUUCGAAGCAACGCGAAGAACCUUACCAGGUCUUGACAUCCCGUGACAACUUUAGAGAUAGAGCUUUCCCCUUCGGGGGACACGGUGACAGGUGGUGCAUGGUUGUCGUCAGCUCGUGUCGUGAGAUGUUGGGUUAAGUCCCGCAACGAGCGCAACCCUUGAUCUUAGUUGCCAGCAUUAAGUUGGGCACUCUAAGGUGACUGCCGGUGACAAACCGGAGGAAGGUGGGGAUGACGUCAAAUCAUCAUGCCCCUUAUGACCUGGGCUACACACGUGCUACAAUGGAUGGUACAAAGGGCAGCGAAACCGCGAGGUUAAGCCAAUCCCAUAAAACCAUUCUCAGUUCGGAUUGCAGGCUGCAACUCGCCUGCAUGAAGCCGGAAUCGCUAGUAAACGCGGAACAAGCAUGCCCGCCCAUGGGGCG